AAGAAUUCUCGCGUUCCUUCUGAACUUCGACAUGGCGCCACUGCACUAUUGGACUAGGGCAAGCUGACGUCGUCUGGUGGAGCUUCCUACGGUAACUACUGCUGCUUACCUGGUGCCACAACGUUGGAUGAAUGCACAAACAGCCCGCAACGGGCAUUUAUAAAGAAUAAAAUAAACAUUUCCUAAUUUCACAA
rnacentral:lncRNA from 1 species